rnacentral:lncRNA from 1 species
CUCCAUCCCGCCCAUCCUGCAUUUGGUGCAAAUAAAGAACGCAGGAGCCUUGUCUCCUACUGGGCUGUCAGUGAGGAAAAGGAGGAAAGACAGGUUAGCUGGGGAUGAUGACGGAUCUGAAGCAAAGCCAUUCAGUGAGGCUGAAUGAUGGACCCUUCAUGCCAGUGCUGGGAUUUGGCACUUAUGCUCCUGAUCAUGACACAAUUGGAAAAACUGGUUAUUUUACCAAGGCUUUGACUGGAAUGGUGUGCUUUCCUUUAAGGAAUCAAACUUAACUUAUGAAGCCAAUAAAGCCCUUGGAAAACUAACCUCAUAUUUUGUCUACAGAGUCCCUGUACAGGGUUUCUGAUCCAUGGUAAGUAAAGAAUGUCACUUUCUAGCAGGCCAGGAACCCUAAGUUAUCUUGGGACCUCAAAGAGAAGAGAAAUUCACCAACUCAUAGGUAUUUAAUGGUACAAAUUCAUAAAUGGGGUUGGCUUUAAAAAGGCCUUAUCUCAGAUUCCUUCUAUGGAACAAAGUUCCAUCAAAGCUAAUUUAAAAGGCCUAUGUAAUAAAUAAUUAUUCUUGCUGCACUGUAUACAAAUAAUUAAGCCAAGUAUAAUAAAGCAGACCAAUCCUACCAUAAUCUGUCUUUUAAUAAAAAUGGGAAACUGAAGAGAGAAAAUUAUGUUUCAAAAACUAUAGCACACCUGUUGUUAAAUGGUAGUGUUGUGUAAUGUUUUACACUUUUUAUUAUUUUCUACUGUUUAAAUUCUAAUUUUUCUUGCUACAAGUUUCUAAAAUAAGCUAUGCUUUCCUAAAGUCCUGUAAACCGAAAACCAGAUGUUUCAGCAGGCACUGCCUCUGAGUCCCCCGACCAUCACAGGAGGAAAUCUCUUCACUGCUGGUGCCAACAACUAAUAACUAAGGGUGUCCAGAAUCCUUUGCCCCCAUGUCUAGUGAGUCCAUGGAACCCAGGGUAAUUAAGACGGUACCUGUUACAGGAAUCAACUCCUAAAUACAUCACACUCGAGUCAAAACCUGGAAAGCUAAGGAAGCAACCCCUGACAGCCCAAAAAUGUCCUAAAUAUCAUUGUCAACAAAUAAGAAAUCUUAAGCUGAAAAUGAUAAAAAACUCCCAAAAGCCAGGCUGCCGAGGCCACCAAAGUGGCUAUUGACGUAGGCUUCCGCCAUAUUGAUUCAGCAUACUUAUACCAAAAUGAGGAGGAGGUUGGACAGGCCAUUUGGGAGAAGAUCGCUGAUGGUACCGUCAAGAGAGAGGAAAUAUUCUACACCAUCAAGCUUUGGGCUACUUUCUUUCGGGCAGAAUUGGUUCACCCGGCCCUAGAAAGGUCACUGAAGAAACUUGGACCGGACUAUGUAGAUCUCUUCAUUAUUCAUGUACCAUUUGCUAUGAAGGGUUCUUCCUGAGAGAGGCAGAUUUGAGUGAGGUGCAUAGGAUUGCCAAAACUUUCCCUGGGAAAGAAUUACUGCCAAAGGAUGCCAGUGGAGAGAUUAUUUUAGAAACUGUGGAGCUUUGUGACACUUGGGAGAACAGAGGUAGCAGAAAACCCUCUACUAACAGAAAACCCAAGAGUCUCCUUUGCUUAUGACUCUGGUAUAAUUUGUUAAGGAACUAUUGCAUAUCUCAAGCCAGAUAGGUAGUAUUGAAAUAAGUGGGAGACAACAAAUAUGUCUACUUGCUGUUAUGAGUAUGCUUGUAAUAGAAUCAAGGAGACAAACA